CAGAGACGAAGAUUUAAUUACCUCUUGGAGAGUAUUGCAUUAACAAGCUUCGGUGGCGCAGCCGGCAGCGCAAAAAAAAAUGAACUGAAUGAGCCCUGGACAAGCAGAACGCAAUCUUACUCGAAAGGUGACUUAUUCUCAGUAUAUGGAGUGUACAGUAUUAUCUCACGAAUUACUUGAAGUUAGAAUGUCCAGCUCGGAUGCCCAGCAUUGCAGAUUUGGAAUUGACAUCUCUCAUUAUAAAGGGAGAGAAGCC